rnacentral:rRNA from 1 species
AACGAACGCUGGCGGCAGGCCUAACACAUGCAAGUCGAGCGCGUGUAGCAAUACACGAGCGGCGCACGGGUGAGUAGCGCGUGGGAAUCUGCCCUGUGGUGGGGGACAACCUCGGGAAACUGAGGCUAAUACCGCAUACGUCCUUCGGGAGAAAGACUUCGGUCGCCAUAGGAGGAGCCCGCGUCCGAUUAGCUAGUUGGUGAGGUAACGGCUCACCAAGGCUACGAUCGGUAGCUGGUCUGAGAGGACGGCCAGCCACACUGGGACUGAGACACGG